GACGAACGCUGGCGGCGUGCUUAACACAUGCAAGUCGAACGGAAAGGCCCUGCUUUUGUUGGGUGCUCGAGUGGCUAACGGGUGAGUAACACGUGAGUACCCUGCCCUUGACUUUGGGAUAACUUCAGGAAACUGGGGCUAAUACCGGAUAGGACCUCCUGCUGCUUGGUGGGGGUUGGAAAGUUUCGGCGGUUGGGGAUGGACUCGCGGCUUAUCAGCUUGUUGGUGGGGUAGUGGCUUACCAAGGCUUUGACGGGUAGCCGGCCUGAGAGGGUGACCGGCCACAUUGGGACUGAGAUACGGCCCAGACUCCUACGGGAGGCAGCAGUGGGAAAGAUUGCAAAAUGGGCCGAAGCCUGAUGCAGCAACGCCGGGUGCGGGAUGACGGCCUUCGGGGUGUAAACCGCUUUAGACUGUGACGAAGAGUGAGUGACGGUAAUGUGUAAAGAAGCACCGGCUAACUACGUG
rnacentral:rRNA from 1 species